GUUUGCUUUCCGUGCCAGAGGGGGAGAGAGCGGGUCUCUCUUGCGCCCACUGCUGGCUUGAGACGGAAGUGCCUCCAUGAGGGUCACAUGGUUUAUACAGGAGCAUGUAGUAGUAGUAGUAGUAGUAGUAGGGGUAGUAGUAGUAGGGGUAAUAAUAAUAAUAAUAUUACAGUCAACUGGGGAUGGCGGCUGGUCCAUGAGUUUGGAAAUGGACCACCCUCUCCUUUUCUUCUGGAAGGGACAAGUCAGCUCCACUUCCUUCCAGCAGUGGGAGGGGAGGGGUUUGCUCUGCCUCCCUCCGCUGGCAUAACAAUCUCACACUUGUAUUGACAUCACAAAUGCCACUUGCUAGCCAAAGGGCCAAACCAUACUAGCCUAGUUCCCAUCUUGGCUAGUUCCUCCUCUAAGGUUCUUGGCUUGGAUUCUCCUCUGAACCCAGAGAGAAAUUCUUCCCUCUUCUUUCUCCAGGUACAGCUCUCCAUCUCCACACCCUCCUGGGGUGAUCUUCCUGAGACUUCCACCAGUUCUGCCUGGGGGGGGUUCCAGAUUCCUCUCCCCGGAAGGCCAGGCUGUCCCUGAGGCAGAGGGAGAGAUCUUUGCCUCUAGCAAAUGGUUAUGGAAAUGCAUUUUUCAAAAAUAUCAUUUUACGGGGGUGGCAGUUCCAGGAUGAGCCUCUAGUGGCAAUCGCUUGCAGCAGUGGGCUCGGUCUUCCGAUGAAGACCCCCCCCCCUUUUCUCUCCUCCCUCCCCCAAUACCAAAUGAGAAGAGGAGAGAAGGCAAAGAGUCGGCCCAGGAAGUCCUGCUAUCAUUGCAGGAAGGUUUGGAUUCCAUUUGGGGACAGUGGGUGGAGAAAAGGCAAUUCACAAUACACUUGGCGUUUCAGAGAGAAGAGGUGGGCUCCUGGAUGCGAGUUCAAAUCCCUCCUGGCUGACUCGCAGCUCUUUUACAGCUCCAGCCCUUAAAACCCGGACACGGCUGCCAAUCAGUGUGGACGAUAUGAAGCCAGAUGGACCAAUCUUAGAAUAGCUCCUCAGUUUUGAACCAUGAGGACUGGAAUCUUCCUUUAAAUUGAAGGGGGGGCUGCAGGUCGGUGGGCGAGCAUCUGCAGAAGCCCCCUCAGCAUCUCCAGGUGGGCGAGUCUCUUGCCCUUAAAACCUGGGGUGCAGCUGCCAGUCAGAGUAGGGGACACCGGAUGGACCAGCAGUCUGGCUCUUCCUGAAGCAGCUUCCUGCGUUCCUGUUUGCGCGUGUUCGGGGCUUGCAUUUUGGGUUGGGGGAUCCCCCCUCCUCCCUUCCCUCUCUCCCAGCCUUGGGGCGCCCCCAGCCUCAUUGCCCCUCCUUCCAUCUGCUCCAAUUACCUGCCGC